rfam:Dipodomys ordii contig_35375, whole genome shotgun sequence.
GGGGAUGUGGCUUAAUGGUAAAGUGCUUGCCUGGGAGGCAUGAAGCCCUGGCUUCAAUUUCUCAGUAUCACAU